rnacentral:rRNA from 1 species
UACGGAGGGUGCAAGCGUUAUCCGGAUUUACUGGGUUUAAAGGGUGCGUAGGCGGAUUAGUAAGUCCGUGGUGAAAUCCCCGAGCUCAACUUGGGAACUGCCAUGGAUACUAUUAGUCUUGAAUACCGUGGAGGUAAGCGGAAUAUGUCAUGUAGCGGUGAAAUGCUUAGAUAUGACAUAGAACACCGAUUGCGAAGGCAGCUUACUACGCGGUAAUUGACGCUGAUGCACGAAAGCGUGGGGAUCAAACAGG